CUUGGUCCCACCCCUUCCCAUCCCGAACAGGACCGUGAAACAAGACCGCGCCGAUGAUAGUGAGAUGCGCUCUCGUGAAAGUAGGUCAUCGUCAGAC
rnacentral:rRNA from 1 species